rnacentral:rRNA from 1 species
CAGCCGCCGCGGUAAUACCGGCGGCCCGAGUGGCGGCCACUAUUAUUGGGCUUAAAGCGUCCGUAGCUGGGUUGGUUAGUCUCCCGGGAAAUCUGGCCGCUUAACGGUCAGAAUUCCGGGAGAUACUGCCAGCCUAGGGACCGGGAGAGGCCGAGGGUAUUCCCGGAGUAGGGGUGAAAUCCUAUAAUCCCGGGAGGACCACCUGUGGCGAAGGCGCUCGGCUGGAACGGGUCCGACGGUGAGGGACGAAGGCCAGGGGAGCAAACCGGAUUAGAUACCCGGGUAGUCCUGGCUGUAAACGAUGCGGACUUUGUGUCGGACAAGCUAUGAGCUUGUCCGGUGCCGGAGGGAAACCGUUAAGUCCGCCGCCUGGGGAGUACGGCCGCAAGGCUGAAACUUAAAGGAAUUGGCGGG